AGCCUGUGGAACUGAGAACCAAGUGG
rnacentral:piRNA from 2 species